AUUGAACGCUAGCGGGAUGCUUUACACAUGCAAGUCGAACGAGUGGCGGACGGGUGAGUAAUAUAUGGGAACGUGCCUAGUAGCGGGGGAUAACUACUCGAAAGAGUGGCUAAUACCGCAUACGAUUGGAUCGGCCGAUAUCGGAUUAGCUAGUUGGUGGGGUAAAGGCUCACCAAGGCAACGAUCCGUAGCUGGUUUGAGAGGAGGACCAGCCCCACUGGGACUGAGACACGGGCCAGACUCCUACGGGAGGCAGCAGGGGGGAAUUUUGGACAAUGGGCGAAACCCUGAUCCAGCCAUGCCGCGUGUAUGAGAAGGCCUUCGGGUUGUAAAGUACUUUUAGCAGAGAGGCGUUAUCUGCAGAAUAAGCACCGGCUAACUCCGUGCCAGCAGCCGCGGUAAUAC
rnacentral:rRNA from 1 species